rnacentral:rRNA from 1 species
GACGAACGCUGGCGGCGUGCCUAAUACAUGCAAGUCGAACGAGUGGCGGACGGGUGAGUAACACGUGGGAACCUACCCAUCAGAGGGGGAUAACACUUGGAAACAGGUGCUAAUACCGCAUACUGAUGGAUGGCCCCGCGGGGCAUUAGCUAGUUGGUGAGGUAAAGGCUCACCUAGGCGACGAUCUCUAGCGGGUCUGAGAGGAUGAUCAGCCACACUGAGACUGAGACAGGGCCCAGACUCCUACGGGAGGAAGCAGUGGGGAAUAUUGCACAAUGGGCGCAAGCCUGAUGCACCCAUGCCGGGUGUAUGAAGAAGGCCUUAGGGUUGUAAAGUACUUUCAGCGGGGAGGCGUUACCCGAAGAAGAAGCACCGGCAAACUCCGUGCCAGCCGCCGCGUAAUAC